UUUAUAACUAUCCACGCUUUGCUACGCUCAUAAAUGACUUCUAUUUACUCACCAUUAUACGCUUUCUUCGAAGUUCUGAUAAGAUUAGGACUACAGUAAAUUUGUUUAUUUGCUUUCUUAUCGCCGCUCACUUGCCAGCCCAAUCUGGUGCUCCCUUUAUGACCAACGUAACGUAAGAGUAUACAUAAAUAACUGCUUUGUGCUAUAUCUAGAGAGUCAUAUAUUGAAUAGAGACUUUAUCUAAUGGCACAUACCUUGCGUAAUAUUAAAUUCCUGUGCGUGGAUAUUAUUUUAUUAAAAUUUAAGUGCUGAGUUAUUCAGUUUGACUUAGCAGUUCGUUGAUGUAAGACGUAUGUGUCCACUGGGAACUCCAAUAUUGGGGCCUUACCGGACAGUAUUAAAAAAUGUGAUUCCUUUGGAUUUUUGGGUGAUCUACAACUUGACCCACUAAAUGUUCAAAUAGUUCAAAUGGAUUUGGUAACAUCGCAUCGGAACUGCAGUUUAACUCAACAAAUUUCUAAAAGUCUGAAAUAACAGAUCAGCGCCUGUUAUUUCUUUUUUUCAAAUUCCGAUCUCCAGGACAUUUUAAAUAACCUUGAAUUAUAUAAUAGUUCAUCCUUAAAAGUUUUUAAAUACGCUUGAGAGAUCGAAAGUGUUUGCGCUAACAAGAAAUCUACAAAAGUUUAAAAUAUGCUGAAAAUUGUUUUAUUUCCUUCUUGCUAAGAAUACACGUUUCUUAUUGAUUUUUAAAACCUUUGAAAUAACACUAAAUGAUCUUAGUUGAUAAACCUUUUUAACUUUUUUGUUUUUCGAACACGAUUCGGAUGAUGUAUCGGCAAAUUCUGCGUUCAUAGUCGACAAUUAAUAUAUCCUUGCCGAAGAAUGAAGCAACCGUUUACCAAAAUUGGGCUUCGUAACUCAACUGCCAGUGGUUUAAAUAAUUUGAAUAAAUUUAUCGACAGCAAACAUAGUUGACAAAUACUAUAUAUGAGCUUAACUUAGAAGUUGACGAUUAUAUUCCUGACAUUGUCGACAUAUUUUUGUAACUCAAGUCUUUAAGUCUUUUCGAUAAAUUUAUCAACAGCAAACAUAUUUGACAAAUACUACGUAUAUACUUAAAUAUGUAUACAUAUUUAAAGAGCUCAACUAAUGAGUUGACAAUUAUAUUCCUGCACAUUGUCAAAAUGUUUUAAGUGGUGUACUUGAAAAACUUAUAAAAUCCAAAAACCUUUAAUAAAUUUGCAGCAGAGCCAUAGUAAACUUGAAAAGCGGGUCUGUUCUGUAAAAAAUUGUCAACGAUCUUGCACAAAUCACUUUUUUGACACGAAAUAAUUUUUUUUAUUAUUAUUAAUUUAGCAAAGAGCUUUAGAACUUCCUAAAAAAAUUAACUUGACAAACUCCUUGUUAUUAAAAAAUCCUUAAAUUUUUUAUGCUAUGAAAUGUAUUUUAUAACACUAAAUAAAUAUGUUUAUUAAUAAAAACUGUAAUUAGUAUUGCAGCAAAAAAAAUAAAAAUAGUUCACCAUCCUUUGAAAGAGAAAAGCUUUAGAAAGCUUUAUGGUACCCAACCGAAAAUAUAAUUUGAGCUUUAAAAAGCUCUAAAUUUAAAAAAGUAUAUUUAAAAAAGUAUAUUUUAAAUUUACUUUUGAUACUACUUUAAAAUUAAAAUUGUAAUAACUUUCGAUAUUUGGUAAUAAAAAUAAAUAUGAAUAAUAUA